GAUCUCCUGCCAAUGCCUGCUCAUCAUGCAAGAGAGGGAAUAGAGGCAGUCCACACUGGUCAGCCUUCUGGGGAACAGAGCAAGGUGAAGGUUUUGUGGAUAUGUCACCGUGUAGAGAAUAAUUACUAAUUAACUGAAAGCUGAAUACUUAAGUUUGGAAGAGCUUAUUUUGAAGACACAUUGUAAAGAGUAGCAGAUAUCUUCAUAGAAAAGCAGCCCCCUGGCUAGAGGAAUAUUCUGAAGAACAUGUACAACUGAGUAUGAUUAUAAGUUUUCUACCUCUGAGGCAGUGCCAGAAAUUCUGGAUUGAAGACAACGAGCUGCCACUGAGCCUCAGGAGGGGCGGCCCGAUGGCUCAG